UUAAAAAUAAGCUAAUUAAAGCUUUUGGGCUCAUACCUCAAAUAUAAAGAAUAUCUUUUUUUUAAA
rnacentral:tRNA from 1 species